rnacentral:rRNA from 1 species
GAUGAACGCUAGCGGCAGGCUUAAUACAUGCAAGUCGAGGGGCAGCAUGAAUGUAGCAAUACAUUUGAUGGCGACCGGCAAACGGGUGCGGAACACGUACACAACCUUCCUAUAAGUGGGGAAUAGCCCAGAGAAAUUUGGAUUAAUACCCCGUAACAUAAUGAUGUGGCAUCACAUUAUUAUUAUAGCUUCGGCGCUUAUUGAUGGGUGUGCGGCUGAUUAGAUAGUUGGCGGGGUAACGGCCCACCAAGUCUACGAUCAGUAGCUGAUGUGAGAGCAUGAUCAGCCACACGGGCACUGAGACACGGGCCCGACUCCUACGGGAGGCAGCAGUGGGGAAUUUUGGACAAUGGACGCAAGUCUGAUCCAGCCAUGCCGCGUGCGGGAAGAAGGCCUUCGGGUUGUAAACCGCUUUUGUCAGGGAAGAAAUCUUCUGGGCUAAUACCCUGGGAGGAUGACGGUACCUGAAGAAUAAGCCCCGGCUAACUUCGUGCCAGCCGCCGCGGUAAAAC